rnacentral:rRNA from 1 species
UACGUAGGACCCAAGCGUUAUCCGGAGUGACUGGGCGUAAAGAGUUGCGUAGGUGGUUAUAUAAGCGAAUAGUGAAAUCUGGCGGCUCAACCGUACAGGCUAUUAUUCGAACUGUAUAACUCGAGAAUGGUAGAGGUUACUGGAAUUUCUAGUGUAGGAGUGAAAUCCGUAGAUAUUAGAAGGAACACCAAUGGCGUAGGCAGGUAACUGGACCAUUUCUGACACUGAGGCACGAAAGCGUGGGGAGCGAACCGG